UUAUUGAUAAUUACGUGAUUCUCAAACCAGAAACCCUGGAUGACCAGCCAGAUCCGCACACUUCUCAAAGCCCGGGAUGCUGCCUUCAGGUCGGGCGACUGAGUUCUGUACAGGUCUGCUCAACCCGAUCUGAAAGAAGCUAAGACGGACCAUAAAAGUAGCAUAGAGUCCCACCUGUCCAGCAACAACACACGGGGGGUGUGGUUGGGCAUACAAGACAUCCUAAACCACAGAGGCUGCACUGUGAAAACAGGAAACUUAAGUGCGCCACUGCUGAAGGAGAUAAACACUGGAAGUAGAAGUACUGAGCAUCUCCAUCAUAGUCAGCAUUGGCAGUGAAAACAGAGAAGCAGGAAAGGAGGAGGGCUGAAACUGCACGUCAGAGGUGAUUUCACAAUUGUACUGAUGCUGUUGUGUGUAUAAAGAACGAUCAGCAGCUUUCAGCCAGCCAAACGCUGUCUAUACACACGAGGAAGAGAUGGAGACUAUGAAGACUCUGCUGAAGGUUUAUCUGCUGCUGCUGAUCGGAC